AGGUCACGUUCCUCUCCCGUAGGAGAUGAACGUAAACGAGCGGCUCAACUCCUUCUCCCAACUCCUUCCCGCUGUUACCUGAAGAGGAUGUGGCUUCAAUGCGUGCCCACGACGCCAUCGUUCACCUAGUGCUAAUUCGUUUAUUCCCCGCUCGCUGUCUCGUUAUUUACAUGCCUGUCCAUUGUUCUUCGUAGGGCUACACUGUUCUGUAAGGAAUUUUUUUAUUUAUCUGUCGCCCAUUUUUUUCGGUGUGAAGAAAAGCCGUUGUUGAUGCACCUGCUACUCAGCUGUUUGGAUUUUUCUUCAUUCACGAGCUUGGAGGCGAUGAUGUAUAUGAAGGGGCUCAUGAUGCUGGCUACGUGAAUGGACUACGGUCAGGUUUGUGCUUCUGUCUGUCAGAGAUGUUUUUCGCGUGGAGAAAUUUUAGAGGCUGUGCGCUGAACGAUUUAAGGAUUUUGGAAUCAACAGUCACCCAUCCUGGAUGAUGCAUGGCGAGUUUAUGUUACGUUGCUAUUUGGAGCCUGGUCUUAAAGUGAUCCAUGAGCUUUUACUAUUACCAAUAUCAACAUGUCCCUGGCAUCGGCUGUGACAGCGAGUGAAAGCAGCACCACCACCGUUCCCGAGGAGGACGCGGAGAGCCCCCGCGAGGAGCAGCGGGCCGUGAAGCAGUCCCUGAGCAAGUCGCUGUGCCGGGAGUCGCACUGGAAAUGCCUGGUGCUGUCGCUGCUCAUGUACUGCUGCGUGGGCGCCAUGGCCUGGUGCCUGGUGACCAAGGUGACGCGGCUGUCCUUCGACAGCGCCUACAAGGGCAAGUCCAUGAUGUAUCACGACAGCCCGUGCGCCAACGGCUACAUCUACAUCCCCCUGGCCUUCCUGGCCAUGCUCUACGUGGUCUACCUGGUGGAGUGCUGGCACUGCUACAGCCGCAACGAGCUGCAGUUCAAGGUGGACGUGGACAGCGUGUCGGAGCGCAUCGGGCGCAUGCAGCAGGCCACACCGUGCAUCUGGUGGAAGGCCAUCAGCUACCAUUACGUGCGGCGCACGCGGCAGGUAACGCGCUACCGCAACGGCGACGCGUACACCACCACGCAGGUGUACCACGAGCGCGUCAACACGCACGUGGCCGAGGCGGAAUUUGACUACGGCAACUGCGGCGUCAAGGACAUCUCGAAGCGGCUGACGGGCCUGGAGGGCUUCCCCGUCACGCGUCUACGCUUCACCAAGUGCUUCAGCUUCGCCAACGUGGAGUCAGAGAACUCGUACCUGACGCAGCGUGCGCGCUUCUUCACCGAAAACGAGGGCCUGGACGACUACAUGGAGGCGCGCGAGGGCAUGCACCUGAAGAACGUCGACUUCAAGGAGUACGUGGUGGCGUUCGCCGACCCGACGCGGCUGCCGUGGUACGCGUCGCACGGCGUCUUCUGGGCUGCGGCGGCGCUCACGUUCUCGUGGCCGCUGCGCGUGCUCACCGAGUACCACACGGCGUCGGCGCACUACCACGUGGAGAAGCUGUUCGGCUUCGACUACGUGCCCGUCACACCGGCGUGCGAGGAGCGGCCGCCCUUCUGCCGCCACAUCCCGCGGGUCAACACCAUCGACAGCACCGAGCUGGAGUGGCAUAUCCGCUCCAACCAGCAGCUGGUGCCCAGCUACUCCGAGGCCGUGCUCAUGGACCUGGCACUGGGCAGCGGCGGCGGCGGCGGCGGCAGCAACACCUACGCUUCGUGCGGCGCGGUCGGCGGCAUGAGGAUCGGGACCUUCGGCGGCUACCGGCAGAACUGCGAGCGGUGCCACCGGGCCAUCAGCAGCUCGUCCAUCUUCUCGCGGAGCGCGCUCAGCAUCUGCGCUGGCGGCGGCGGUCCACGCCUGCCCUUCAGCGCCAGCCGCUUCUCCCUCAGCCGCCUGUACGGCUCUCGCCGCAGCUGCCUCUGGCGGAGCCACAGCGGCGGCAGCCUCGGCGACCACGGCUGCCCGACCGAGAGCACGCGCUGCCUGGCCGGACCGUCGCUCUCCUCCGGCGCCACUACCACUGGCGGCGGUGCUCCCGGCGAAGACGCCGCGCAGCAGCAGCAGCAGACGCAGCAGCAGCAGACGCCGGCUCCGCCCUCUUACCAGGACGCCCUCUACUUCCCCGUGCUCAUCGUGCACCGCAACGAGGGCUGCCUCAACCACGACCACCGCUCGCUGCACCGCAACGGCUCCUGCGUGGAGACUUCCUUAUGACGCCACAAGCAGACAUGCUAAGGGAGGGUGAAUAACUAAGGAUACGUUUGGAAGAAUGUAGAGGAGGAAGAGUAAUCCGAGGGUUUAAGAGAGGAAUGUUUACUUUCCCUAGACAGCUUGACGUCUGUUUCCUUGGACAUGACAGAACUGGUGCAGUGCGAAUGAUGCCAAGCUCUCUUUUAUAAUACACACACACUGUAAUGAUGACAGUCAAGUGUAAUGGCAUGUUAACCAUUCAGGAUUUCUUCGUGUCAAGAUCAAUUAGAUAAAAAUGGAGGUCAUUGUUUCUUUUUCUUUCAGCCAUGUUUUUUCUACUUCCUUAUUCUGAAGUUGUGUGCGCAAAGCCUGGCUCAAAUGCAGCCAUUCCUGACAGCAACAGACAUUUUUUACUAGAUUAACUCUUUCACUGGUAGGUGUUUAUGGAUUGCUCAAUAAUAAAUGUGUUGGAAUAAAAAUGACAAGUCUGUAUGUAUGUCAACACUUUCACCACACUGUUGCCUUUGCCGUCUGUUAAAUACAGUAUACCAGUAAAACAACUGAAAACCAAAUCUGUGUGUUCAAGUCACUUAUGGCAAAUCUAAUAAAAGAAGUCUGUGUCUUUACUGGUGAAUGAAGUUUACAGUAAAUGUUGCUGUCUAUUUAUGUGCUUUAUCCUUUACUUACAGUUUAUUGGAAGAGUAUUACGAAACCUAAUAAGCAAAAGACAGGUUUCAGUCAUUUGAGGAACUCUACGACACCUGUAACCAUACUGUGCGCUUAAAUGUAGAGUCUGACAUUUUUGUCGAAAGAUAAAAAUACACAUAGACCAACAAUAAUGAUGUAAUAAGAUCAGAAUCAUGAAAAAGAAACCGCUAU